GGCGCACGGGUGAGUAACGCGUGGGUAAUCUACCCUCGAAUUGGGGAUAACCCGCCGAAAGGCGGGCUAAUACCGGAUAAUAUCUAAAAAGCCUCGGUUUUAUAGAUCAAAGGUGGCCUCUACAUGUAAGCUUCUGUUUGAGGAUGAGCCCGCGUACCAUUAGCUUGUUGGUAGGGUAAUGGCCUACCAAGGCUACGAUGGUUAGCUGGUCUGAGAGGAUGAUCAGCCACACUGGAACUGACACACGGUCCAGACUCCUACGGGAGGCAGCAGUGANGAAUCUUGCGCAAUGGGGGAAACCCUGACGCAGCAACGCCGCGUGAGUGAUGAAGGCUUUCGGGUCGUAAAGCUCUGUCAAGUGGGAAGAACCCACAUGGGUGUUAAUACCGCCAUGUGCUGACGGUACCACUGAAGGAAGCACCGGCUAGCUCCGUGCCAGCAGCCGCGGUAAUACGGGGGGGUGCAAGCGUUAUUCGGAAUUACUGGGCGUAAAGAGCGCGUAGGCGGUCUCUUAAGUCAGGUGUGAAAAGCCCGGGGCUCAA
rnacentral:rRNA from 1 species